GAAACUUGGCAGGCAGGGGCUCUGGGCGUUAGGAUCUGGGUUAGGGCUGGGGGACGCCCCGCCACGCCCAACCGAGCAUGUUCCUGCCCCGGCCAGGCCCGGUCCGCUGGAGUCUGGGGUCUGGCCUCCCAGGCCAACAGCAUUCCUGGGGUGGGGACCUUUGUCGCAUGCAUCCCCAGGCCUGAGGAGGGUCAUAUAAUGUCUGGACGGAGCCGCUGGGGGGCUGGAGGGACAUGGGGUGGGCAGGCACAGCUGGGUUCUCAGGGAAGCACGAAAACCCAGAAUGAGGCCUUGAGAUGGGUUGAAGGCCCGCACUUUGCCAUCGACACUGACCCAGCGCCCUUCUCUGCUCCGCCGUCCGCCUGACUGCCCGGAGCCUGAGCGGGGCUAGAGCGAGCCCCACCCGGACUCUCCCGGGAGCGGACCGAAGCCCGCAGUCCGCACGCUUUGCUCGUGGUACUCAGGUGCUCUGGUGGGCUCGUCCAUAGGGACCAUGUGGCCUCCCCUAGCCCAGGUGAUGGCCGAGCCCUUGGUGUGUCGCCGGGAGGCCGUCUAGGAACCGCCCUUCUCCCGAGUCAGCCAUAAGCCCCCAAAACCCAGUCUGCAAGGCCUGAAGCCCACAUGGGGUUUCUGAGACUCCAGAGUCUAGGAGGGGCCUUUGGGCCCUUGAGGGCUUAUGUCCCACCCCGCGGCGGCCACAAGCUCUGGUUACUCUUGUGGUGCCUCCCUGCGCAGGGCCUGUCAGGUGGGAGGCACAUGGGGUUUCCUGCCUGGGGUUCAGGUCUGUGUGCAAGGGGACAUGCCGAUGCCAGUCCGAGCUGUCCCAGGAGGCACCCGUGUUCAAGCCAGCAGUGAGAGGGACCUGGGAGGCUUGUCAUGGGUGACAAGCAGCAGGACCUUAAAAAAACGGAAGCUGCUCCACUCCCAAGUCCGCUGGAGUGACCCCGUAUCCUGUGUGGGUCAGGAACACAGGGUGCCCUGAUAGAAAAUCUGCAUCCUGGGGAGCUCCCUGGAGGAGGCUGGCUCCGGGCCUGCCUUGCGGGGAGACCCCAGCCCUGCCCAUGACCGGAGCAGCCCACAGGGCAGAGUAGGAGGCAGCCGGUUCCCAUGCCCCUUCUAGAGCGGCCCUCCCCCACCCCUGGACCCCGUGGCCACCAGCUCCCCACCUGGCUGGCCAACCUCUUUUUCUCCUGGGAGAGCUCAGCCUCGGCUUCGGGGCCACCGACGCAGGACUUGCCUCCCUGCCAGAGUCACUGCAGGGACACCAAGAAAGCAAACCUAGUGCUUUUCCAACACCUAACAGUGGAAGUGGAGAAAGAGAAGGGAGGUCAGCUAGAAAGUUCUGGAACGCGGUCUACCAGAGGAGCCUGUUUCCCAAUGAAAGAGGAGGCUGCGGGGAAGCUGAGGAAUCUGCGAGGGCAGAGCCCACGUGACCCCGGGGUUGGCCCGGCAGUGGGUCCCGGGUCCCCUUUCUGCACGGCUGGGCCACCCUACAGGAGAGACCUGGGGACAGGACUGGGGACGUCGCUGCAGCCACGGCAGCUCCCCUCUUGUUCAGUUAGCCGGUCCUCCCAGAGGGCAGGGGCCAUGGCUGGUGAGCGGACAGCUGCCUGCCUGCUGGCGGAGGCGGCCGGGCCCCGCGGGCACUGCUCUUCCUGCGCCCGGCGGCGUGCCCCGUUCUCAGGGGAAAGGCCCUCUCGAGAGCUGCUCUGAAAGGCUUCCCGAGCGGCCGGACCAGCUAAUGAGUUAUUUGCUCUAAACAAUGUCUUGAUAAAGGGGACGGAGGGAGUUAGCCCGUGUUGACGAAGGAGACGCAGGGUUGCCAGGGAAAUGCUCCUAAGUGGACAGAAAGAAAAGACAGUCGCCGCGUCCUGUCUGACUAGGAAAAAGGCCGCGGAGCGCGCACCUCUGGCCGGCUUUUGUGUUUGUGUUUGGAAGAGACAGGCGGCCGCGAGCGUGGGGCCGCGGCGAGGACGCCCACAAAGCAGAUGUGUGCGGAGCCCGCGGCGGCCGGGGCCCAGGUGGCCGGCUGGGCGCUCGCCCCGGGAGUCGGCGCAGAGGGGCCCCCGGGCCAGGGCACGGGGGGCGCGAGGGGCUCCCGGUGGCGGCGGAGUCGGAGUCGGAGAGCGGCCGGAUGGAGCCCUGCAGCGCUCCCGGGCUCGCGCCGCGGUCGGGGGCUCUCGGGUCUCUGACUCCUGCUCCGGGAUAGAAAUCUCUGCGUCUGUCAGCCGCCCCACAUGUUUGCCCAGAACCGUCUUUGAUGGAAUCACAACACGAUUCCUGCUCUCGCUUGACCCGUCAGAGCCCUGGGGCAGCCUCCGCAGGCCCUAGUGCCUCGCGUGGAAACCCUGGCCUCGGCGAGGCUCCCCUUGCAAACUGGAACACCCCUGCGCGUCCUCAGGCCCAGGGGCUGGGGAUCGCCGGGGCUGCCCCUCCGCCCCUCACCUCCAGCUGUCACCCGCGAUGUCCCAGCCUGCCGGGGGGUCCCAUUCCUGACGCCGGUCCCUCCCCUCACCUCCUGAGCUGCGGAGAAGUACCCUGCGGACAGGAGGGUCGAAAGGCCCCUGGUUCUCAGGCUGGCAGGAGGAGGCCUGCCAUGGGGUGUGGGGGAAGACGUCCUCUCUGCCGGCAAGACAGAGCUCUGAGCCCAGCCUGGUGGCAAGGAGACUCUGGCCUCUGCGCGCGCAGCCCCUGAGCCCCUCCCAGGUGCCCCCACUGUCCUCGCGGGAGCGUCCCCCAGCCUCAGUUUCCCGAUCUGUAAAAGCCGGAGUGGCCUGUACAUACUAGGCCCCCAGAGGGUCGUCGUCGUGAAGGCAUCUGAUUUCCCUCACUUCCAGGCCGGCAGCAGAAGGGACUGGGCCUGGGGGGAGGGGUCCUUUGUGAUCAGAGACCUUGGGUCGACUCUGGACUCACAGCAGCCACGGCCAGCGGAAUGUGACCAGAGCCCUGCAGGAAGGGCAGGGGCAGGGGAGCUCCAGAGAGUGUCCCCAGGCCGCGCCGAGGCCUGCCGCAGGCUACGUGGCAGCGGCCCGGCCCAGCCCCCACCUGCCUCGCUUACUCAUUCACUCUUGCUUCAUCAAACAUUCACAGAGGGGCCGUGAGGGGCUCCACAUGGAUUAAGCCCGAAGAUAACGACACUGAGCCAAAAGGUCUGCUUCUGCCUCCCCCGGCCCCUCGCGCUUGCCGGAGACGGCCAGCGAGCCCUUGAGCACAAACAAACAGGCAGUUAUCCAUUAAGAAUGGGGGGUGGGGUGUGGGGUUCUCAGCGGCCCAGUCUGCGGUAGCGACAUUUCAGCCAAGACCCAGAGGGUGCGUCUUUCCCUGUCUGGGGUUAGGCAAGAGGGUCUGGGGAGCUUGGCUUGUUUCAGAUGAUACCCGGGGACAGUGGAGGAGCCGCCGUGACUCGGUUAGACCCACCGCUCAAGGGCACCAUGGGCUUGGUGACCCUGGGCCCUAGCCUGAACCUUUCAGGCCUCAGGUGGAUCAUAUAUAAAACAAGAGUGAUAAUACUCCUGCAUCAAAAGCUGCCCCGAUGGGCAGAUUAGUGAAACCGUGUUUAGAAUGCGCAGCGCCUGGCUGAGGGGAGUCCAGUACUCUGGUUCUCGGAAGACUAUUCCUUACCUCAGAGCACGUGCGGGGCCCGUAAGUUUUCCCUUCGCCCAGAUGGCAGUGCCCGGCCUCCCUGGGAGCACCUGGCUGCCCGGGGAGCGCAGACCAGGCCCGCAGAGAGAGCGGGGACUGGCCUGCCCAGCUCCUGCUGGCCCCCGGGCCUGCACGGGGCCUGGGGUGCUCAUGCACCCCCUUCCUGGCUGGAGAAGAGAGGCGUCCACCUUCCGCUUGCAGGACAUCGUGCCGAAUGUUCUCAAAGCUUCUCAAAGCUCUGACAGCCUGGCUCCUGCACGAACCAGCCCUGGGGGCCGAAGUUAUAGACUGGACCUGCCCCCUUGCCCUUAGCUGAGUAUGUGUGUGUGUAUGUGUGUGUGAAGGCCGGGGGCUGAGCAGGGGAUACUUAGAAGCCUCCAGAAACAUGAAAGGCAAGCUCCUUCCAGGCUUUGGGGGUUGGCCCAGCCUGGACCACAUGGGGGUCUUUGUGAAGCCCCAUAUCCCAUCAAGGUAGCCUGAGGCCAGGAAGGUUGGCUGACCCCACCCCUCCCCCUAGAACUUUCAGGGGAUCCCCAUUCUUCAUCUGCAGUUACCCCAGCUCCAAGAACCCAUCCUCUCCGUGAGGGUGAGGAGGGAGCUCGACUAAGGUCACAUAGCUGGAGGCAGACGGAGCUGGGUGGGCUGGUGGGGAGACAGGAAGUCCUGGGAGUCCUGGCUCGCCUCGCGGUCCCCAGAGGACGGCCCCCGGGCUGCCCCCCCCCCCCCCGGCGGUUCCCUGAAGCCCCGCUUCUACCCCCCAGGGAGCUCACUUGCUUCCUUCUGCUCCACUCUUCAUGAGACGUCAGCGAUAUAAAAGGACUUUCUUUCUCUGCCCUGCUAGUAUUCAGAAAUGGAGCUGUUGUCCAAGAAUGCUCUCACAAGAAGGCAAUCCUGCCGAUGGUGACCGCACGGGUGAAUAGGGGGGGGGGGGACACUGAAAUAAGCGACGCAGGAGGACACGGGGCGACACCAGUUACAUGACGUGUCCAGAGCCGUCAGACCGCAGCGGGCGAAGGCCUCGGAGGUGGCAGGUGGGCUGGGGGCCAGUCCCCCCGACCCCUGCGCAGAGGGUCAGCCCUGCAGGAUGCGUGGGUCCGGCGCGGGGGACUCCAGAGAGCGGCACUGCACAGUGUCGUCCACAGGCUGCUGGGAGGGCAGGUCUGGGGGAAGUGCCCGUCUAAAAUAGUAAUGAUGCUGACGAUAACAGUGCCAGUGAGAGCGGCAGCGAGACGGAACUUGGGGAGCUCACGGUCGCUUUAGGGCGGAGAACGCGGGGACCGCCUCAUGGGUGCGCGCUUCUCCCCAAACUUCACCUGCGGACACGUUACUGACGUACAGAUCUGGUCGGUCAGUCGUACCGCAAUGAAGCAGCUUCAAAAGGGAAACGAAAAGCAAAACAAAAAAUUCUCACAGAAACUUUGCUGUGAGAGGCUCAUUUAAAGUGAUCCCCUUCUGGAUGAAGGCGCCCAGAGCCGCCCUAACAGAGCCGGAGCCCCACGGAUGGCCACACCUCUUCCCUCCACGAGAACCCCAAAACCCCGCUAAAAAUCGGCUUUGAAGAUCCAAGCCCGAGCAGCAUCACACCAAGAACGCGCGUGGACACCAGGCAGCCUGGGGGGUCUCCAGGGAGCCGUGUGGGGCGCGAGCCCGUCGUAGGAGGUCCUACAGCCUCGGUCCACUUACAGAGUGUUCUCGUCAGGACAGACUCGAAAUGCAGAACAGAUGGGUGGCUGCCGGGGGUUGAGGACACGGCCGGGUGGGAGGGAGUGCUUACGGCUGAAGGGGUGACAUGAGAGACUGUGCGGGUGACAGGAGCGGCCCUGGGUCACUGUCUGGAUCCUGCUGAUCCUGCUGGCGAUCUGAGCCUGUGGUCUGCAAGAUGUCGGGGGGGGGGGGCGGUGCGCGGGUAAAGGACACGUGGCAUCAAUUAUCCCUGAUUGCAUGUGAAUCUGCAGUUAUCUCAAAAUAAAAAGUCUAAUUAAGAAAAUCAUGAUCCCCAUGCUAAAAACAUCAACAGUCCUAAAAAUACCCAAUAAUGAAUUUUAAAAUGUACAGAAUCCGUACAAAGGGCUGAAAAAUAUUGAGGGAUAUUACAGCUGUCUUGAACACAGAGAUAAACUUGCAUGUGGCUAGAAAGGCUGUUUCUAUAAAAAAAGAUGUAUUCUAAGUUCAUCUAAAUCGAUCGUAGCUUCCAUAGAAAAUACCAAGAGAAUGGAGAGGGUCACACACACGGGUACAUGCUUUUUUAAAAAAUCAGACAUGUCGAUUCCAAAGUCUGUAAGAUUCUGAAAAGGCAUCACCUGGAGCUCCCUGGGGCAGCCUGACCCCUACCCCCCCCCCCCCCCCCGGGCUCUAGAGGGGCCACGGGUUUUAAAGAGCACCUGUCCUCUCAGACGGGGUCAUGCGCGUGCAUAGUGCUGCUUUCUGCAGCCGAGCCUCCUGGUUCAGGCUCCCUCCCCAGCGGCCUUGGCAGUACCUGCAGCCAGGGGCCUAAAGCUGGGAAGGGCGCACACCAGCCGUGGCCGGCACUGGAGCUUUCCUGUGUGCUUUGCGCCAGGGUCCCUUCUAUCCCCCGAGCAGUGCCCUGGAAGGCACGCUCUCUCGUCAUCCCCGUUUUACAGAUGGGGAGCCCGAGACCCUGGCCAAGGGUUUGAACUUGGGCUGUGGCUCCAGAUCUGCCUGGAUCUGCCUGUAAGCGUGACCUCUUAUUCCCGACUCAGUAAAGGACAAUGCCAGGCAGGGGCGCAGGGGGACAGGGGACGAGGGGCAGCCUUCCUCUGGGCUGGUUUCAUCAGGACAAGGCUGGAAGGCUGCACUGGGUCUGGGAGCCCAGACCGGACAAGGAGAUGGUUCCUACUCUGCAGGGUGGGACGUGGAGACCUGCUGGCCAGCACGGUUGUCACAGCACCCCAGCCCUCGGGCUGUGUGAGCGAGCCCAGGAAGAAGCUCGCACUCCAGCUCCUUGACAUUCCUAGUUACCCAGGCGAGGGCUCAGCCCCAAACCCUCGGCUUCCUGUUAACUCUAGAGCUAAUCCUGCGUCUCCAUCUGAAGAACGUUCUGAUCCAAGGCCAUACCAUGGAUUCCCUGGUCGGCGGCACCAGGUGGCUUUCCUUCCAGUAAUAGGAAUGGGGGGAGCCCGGCCCCACUGGCAAGUGCAUCGUACAAUUCCCAAGUCAGACCCCCACGCCUGGCCUAUCCCCGGGCCCAUCGGCCGUCCAGGAGGCCGUCUACAAGCAGACACAGAGGACAGGAGAGUCUGAUCAGUCCGUGGAGAGAAGGUGAUGUGCUGUAGCGACUCAUGCUGAGACCACCAGGUAGACGCACAGGAAACACACCGCAUUUAGUGAUUUCUUACACCAAACCCAGAGGAAGCUCUAUUUACAUGUAAAAAAGGUGGAGCACAGAGAGCAGAAGGAAACAGGAGCGAAUCCACGAAAACAGUCUCACAACGAGGACGUUUUUUCAAAAUGUACAGCCAGGACCGACCCCAAGUCACAAAAGAUUGCCAAAGUUCACAUCAAAAUUUAAAAUUCCCACCCGCAGAAAAACAUUAUAGAGACUAAAAGACGAGAGAAAAAUGGGCGCAAAAUAUGUUUGACACAUGCUGACUACCUAUAAAGCAGUAAGAGGCCUUCAAGAGCCGAGAGUAUGGGAAGAUGGAACCCAGAACAAAGAGACAUGUUGUUCGUUAUCGGAAAAGAUAAAGCCCUCAUUCAUAAUAGAAGACACUGACAUCAGAAUCCAGCAGGGCAUUCUCGUCCAGCCGAUGAAUGCAGAUAAAAGCCGGGACUUGGUCUGCUGGGGACGGUGUGGGCGGGGGCGCAGGACACACUGGGCCACGCUCAUGGCCAUGGCCGCACGGAGCUGCCUUCACGGGCGUGAGGGCGCACGGAGCCACGUUCACGGGUGUACGGACGUAUGGGGCCGCUGUCGUGGGCACACGGGCUGCUGUCACGGAUGCAUGGACACACGGAGCCGUUUUCAUGGGCAUAAGUACAGACAGGGCCGCUGUCAACGGGCUCAUGGGCCCCUGUCACGGGCACAAGGACACGGAGCGGCUCUCAUGGGCAUAAGGCCGUGCGGGUCACUGUCACACGAUGCUGCACCCAGGGGCCUGCCUCUGGUUUCCUACUUCAUUCGCUGUGCCCUGAGCCGCCCAUGUCGGCGUACCGGCCUGGAUGGUCUCUCCGCCUGGGGACGUGUUUACCUCUGCUCCGUCUCUGCUGGAGUCUUUGGUUUCACUUCCCGGGACCUCAUGAAGUCUCACAUCAUGGCGAGACUCCCAGUUCCCCUCGAUAGUGGAUUCAUUUUGUAGCGUCCUUGUUCGGUGCGGGGCAGCCUAGAAAGAGACCUUGCAGACAGAGCUGGAGCUGGGGUGAGCCCCGGGAGGAGACGGACAGUGUUCGGUGGCGAGAGAUGCGCGAACUUCGCAACUGGGCGGUUCCUUAGUGAACCUCCGAGGGGUUAACGGCGGGCUUCCGCGGCCCCGUACGCCCAUCGAUGGGGGCUGCUCGGCACUCGCGGGACAGUGGAACGUCCGCAGCUGUCAGUGAGAGGGAGAUGCGCUCCGCGUCUUACUCCAGACCCAGCCAGAACACCCGGCCAUCUUGCCUUUGAGCAGUGCGCGCUGGGGCCACAUGCCGACCAAGAAAUGAGUGGUGGACUUGCUUGAAGCAGGACGCCCAUGGUGAGGUGUGCAGCUCGGCAGGGUGGCCAGGGCUCUGUCCUCUUGGGGACACUCUGUGUCCCUGCUGGUCUCCCGCCAGCUGCAGGGAAGUCAUGCCGCCCUCCACCCGACCCGGCGUCCCUCAGGGGCCCACCCUGCAUGUGAGGAUGGAAAGCUCGCUGACCAGCGCCACCACCCGUCCCCCCAGCCCGACUCCUCAGCCUCCUGACGGCCCUCCCAGCCCACCAUCUGCAUGCCUCCUCUCGGGCAGGAGGGGCGUCCGUGUUCACCGGCCUUGAACCGAUGCCGCAGGGACCAGAGCCCCCAUAAGCACAGCCCCGCGCGGGGGCAGCCCAUGGCAGUGGGCUGAGAGCUGUGGCCACGCACACCGAUCCUGGAAGCAGCAGCUCGGGACCGCAGUGCGCCGGACCCCAGGGCAUGGGACCCAGUGCGCGGGACCCAGCAAGUGCAUGUGCGCCCACGUGCCUGUGCGCACGAACACUUGAUGAAAGUGCUUCUCGGGGGUGCCACCCUGUGUGCGUCCACCUCGUCUGGGCAGCCUCAAAAGAUGUGGGGCACACUUGGCCAUCUGCUCCAGGAAGGGGAACUGCAAACAGACACGCACACCAUGCGGUUGUGCGUGGCAAUCGGUGGUCCACGUCAGGAGAGGCGUACAGACCCCCUCCCUCGUGUAAGAGCUGUCGGAGGAACGGAGCGGAGACCGCGAACCGUGCUCAGCUCUAGGGCAGGAAACAUGGGAAUCCGGCGCCGGGCGGGACAGCCUGAAUUUUCAGGACGGCCUCUUGUGGGCUCUGAUUGUGCUCUGCCGUGCGCGCGUGUGUAAAGCCUGGUUUAGUGGGAUUAGUACUGGUUGUGCGCGAUCGCGAGAGGUAAGGCCUGGUGCGGCGUGCGGGUGCUGGCCGGGCAGUGAGCAGGCAGCCCUGCGCCGGGGGCUGGGGCGCCUGGCUAAGAGGCCGCCCCACCGCCCGCUGCUGUGGGCUCUGGUUCAUGUCAGUCCGAGGAACAGGGGCUGCUCCCGCACAAAGAGGUUUUUGACAGCACAAGGCAGAACCAGAGGGAGAGCAGACCCCAGGCAGGCUCCCAGGGAGCCCACCCCCACUCGAAUGGGAAGGGGUGCCCUCCAGCCCUCUGCAGAGCCCCAGGCUCUCCUCGAAACGAGAUGCUGCGUGGGCUCUGUCCCGCGGGCUCGGGAGAGGAGUGAUUCUUCCAGAAACCAGCGAGUACGUGUAGGGCGCGCUCUGGCCACGGCGUCUCUGGAAAACUCUCGAGUUUUAUGUAACUCGUUCCCGGCUUCAGGGGACUGUUGACUUUGAUUCGCGCGGCCAUGACAACACAGCCUGUUUUCCAAUUGAUCUGCCCCACGUCUGGGUUCACUGAAGUAUUUCCUAGCGCACAGUCACAUUUUAAACUUUUUUUUUUUUUUUUUUUUUUUUUGGAAAAAGGAAAGAAUAAAGCUGGAACGCGGACCUAUCUCACCACCCUGCCUUUCUUUUCUGCUAAAAUUUGGCUUUGGGAGGAGCAAGUGAUCCCCGCUUCUGAAAUGGCACUGGCCAGGCACCUCUUGGAACCUGCGUUCUCUGGGGAAGCGACACAAUGUUGACCGAGGAGCCCCCACCCCACCCCGGGCACUCCUCGACCGGGCACUGCCCCCACGGGGGCAAGGGGGCCUUGACGAUGAGGUCGCUGGCCCGCUCGGGACAUGUCCGCACCCGGCCUCCGCAGGGGCUCUGGCCUGGGCAUCCCCGUCCCCCACCUGGGCGUGGGGAGGCCAACACGUGCCGCCGGCAGAGCGGCUGGGCGGGAAGCGGGCAGCCCAGUGCCCGCCACUGUGAGAGGAAACGAAGAGAAACCGCUCCAGUCAGCCCCACAAGCAGGCCUGGAGACUGCAGCCCAGGCGAACACAAAGGACUUUUCAGACUCUGCGGCCGAGGCGUCCGGUGAGCGGCCGAGGCGCCCGGUGAGCGACCGAGGGGCCCAGUGAGCGUUUUUUUUUUCUUUUUCUUUAUUUUCCCUUUCUUUCCUUUUUCUUUCUUUCUUUUUUUUUUUUUUUUUUUUUUUCCAACAGCUAUUAGGGUGACAAGCCUUUCCAAAGGCCGGCCGUUGGUGAGGGUUUCCAGGAAGCUGGUCUGGCACCAGGCUAGGGUUGGAGCAACUUUAACAGAGUUAACUUCAGAAGGAAAGAAUUGUCAGGGAAGGUUUAAGGCUCAGCAAACUUUUUGAAUUAUUUUGCAAAAAAGUCCUGGCUUUCAAAUUCAAAGCCGUGUUUAGCCGUGACUGUGGGAAGCCAGAGCUUAUUUCAAAAGACGCUGCUGCUGGCACAUUACUGAGCCCUCCCCUCCAGGUAUCUGCCGAGACUCCCCAGGCCAGGCCCUGCGAGGGCCAUCCGGUGCCUGGAAACACGGGGGUCACCUUCCACGUCCCCCCAGCACCCCUCCACCCACGGGCCUCUCCCGCCUCCGGCCCCCGGGGCUGUGUGCACACACCCGCACACGAGCACACCUUCCCCAAGCAGGAAGCCGCCCUCUGCCAAGAGCGCAUGGAAUUCAGAUUUCCAGAGAGUGUCCUUGGCCUCCAGCUCCACAGCCACACACUGAAGAAAGGUCCUAGUGUGUGUGGCGGGGGCGAGAGAGAGGGGCCUCCAUCUCGGCUCCCGUCUCUCUGGGCCCCAAGAAAAACCCACAGCUGGCUGCGCUCGCCUCAGCCGCACCCGCCUCAGUCGCAUUCCUUCCCUUCCUGAGCCCACGCUGGGUGGCCCCACAGCCCCGCUUCGACACCUCCCUCCCCACCCGCGGGGAGACCGGGGCCAGGCCCGCGCGGGGCAGCUGGCAAGCACACGUGAGGGGGCCGCACCCCAGGCCCACGGUGGCCGGAAACCACCGAGGGGCCCAAGGGGCUGGGCAUCCCAGCCGUGGCCUCAGCUGGCGGGAGCAGAGAGGGCGCCGGGCCCCCGGCAGCCCACCCCAGGCCGAGCGCCUCUCCAUAUCCCACCUGCAGACGAUCCCCACACCCCCGGAGGGAGCACUGCCCCCUGCACCCGUGACCCCCACCCCCAUCCACACCGGGCCGUCUGGGCCCUGAGAUCUGGCAUCCGGGGGAGUUAAACAUUGACAGGCAGAGACCGACAGCGGCCCAGUAAAUGAGACAAGUCCAUGAUCAGCCACACACGGUGGACAGGCUGGUCACGCUUAGCUUCUCUUUGACCCCAGUCACUGGGACCUUGCCACCUGCAUGGCCGGGGAGCAGCAGGUGGGAAGCGCGAGCCUCCCGCAGGCCAUCGGAGUCACGGAGGCCCGUGCGCAGCAGGAGUUAGGGCUCCUCCUGUGCUCGGCACUCAGGGCGGCCUGGCCCAGAAAGGGGGGUUGCUCCAGGGCCUGGCCGGUCUCCCCGGGGAGGAGCCUGUGGCUUUGCCGCCCAGGCCUCUGGGCCUGCAGCCCCGGGGACAACUCUGAGCGCACCGGCUGGUGGCCACCCUGCCCUGUUCCUGCUGGCUGGGGUCUCCUGUCGUGGCCGGAGAGGCCGAUUUCCCUGUCCCUUCUGGACAGCUUGGACCUCAGGGCUCGUUGUUCCUGUGAUGCCUCAACUCCACCGGCCUCUCCUUCCGAGUGUGGCCCACAGUGGACUGAACUGGGGGGGGGGGGGGAUGCUCUUCCUGUGUCCCUUGGUGGGGGGCCUGGUGUGAUAGAAACAGCAGGGUAAGGAGCAGGCCACAGCCAUGACCAAGGCCUCAAGGACAUGCUCCCGCUGCCUAGUAGCCAGGGGCCUGGGGCUGGUGCGGGCUGCAGUACAGGUCCCACUAGGACAGAUGGCCCCCACUGGAACCAAAGGAGCAGGCUCCAGGAGUCCCAUGGCCUGGUCCCAGCUGCCCGCACCUGGCAUGGCUUCUGGGCAGGGUCCCCUCAUCUCUGCUGUCGGCCCCGUGUCCCAGGCUGUCCAUCUCCCAACAGCCACAGAAGAGUUUCCCACCCCACCCACCAGCCCCCGGCCUGAUGCAGCCCACUUCCAGCACAAGACAGGGGUAGAUGGUAGAGAGCUGCCGCGGGCUGUGGGGGUCCCCAGGGAGGACACUCCAGUGAUGUCCUCUGAACCCGGUGGAUGGCCCCACCCCAGUCCCUACACACACACCAGCCAGGGUUCAGUCACGCCGGGAGCCCGUUUUCAGGGGUGUCCCUCCACCUGAGGCUGCCCCCACCUUGGAGUCUGGCCCCCUGUUCUUGCUGUGGUCUUGCCCCGCCGUCCGGGCCCCGUGAGCCCCCACCUGGAGCCCACCGGCUCGGCUGGGGGUUCCAUGGGGUAGCUCAAGAAAAGAAAAAAAAAAAUUCUAGUGUUUUAAACUGGAAAAGGUUCCAUUUGCUCCAACAGAUUCCGAACCUGAGGCCGACGCAAACGCAAGACCGCUGCCGGCAGGCCCGGAAGUAGGGAAGGAAGGAGAAUGGCCCCUGGGCCGCCGGACACGGGGGGACGAGACGACACAGGCCCACAGCAGCCUGGGCAGGGCCAGGCAGACAAGCAGGUUAAAAGGCUCGAAGCUAAAGGUCCAGCGUGACCUUACCUUGCACUUUAUCCCCUAGAUACGGAGCCUGGCUACCGGAGCAGUGGCGGGGGGCCUGGGGUCGGCGGCUGGGAGCUGCCUGCCUCCUGUCCAGGGGCUGGGCUCUGUGGGCGGCGGGUCCACAGCCAGGGCUGUGGGGGUGGGCCCUGAGCGCUCUCUCUUGGAAUAGCCUCACCCCCUGCAUCUUCCCCAUGUCCUCUCCUGCCUGUGACGUAACCCCAACCUCUGCCUCAGUUUCCCCAGCAGGGCCCCGUAGGACAGCGUUGUGGCGAGUGUUAGACUUUGGAAGGCACAGCCUAGUCGGAUCUUACGUGAUGGUUCGGUCCCAAAGCCCAAUCAGGUAGAGUCAAAAUGACCUUUGAAGAUCACUUGAACUGCCUCUUAAAAAUCGCUUCCCGGAGCUGUGCGACAUCCCCGCGGAGCUCCGCCCAGUGGCCUGCGCCCACCGAAGCAGAGCAGCUCUGGGCACAUCCGGAGGGCGUCCCCGCUCCAGGCCAGCCUGCUCCCCAGUGUCUUUCGAGGGACUGCCUCGGGCUGCUGGGGUGGGCAAAGCAGACGUGGGCCCAGGGGAAGGGCGUUGGGGCCCCAGGGACGCUGGGGACACCGGGCUCUGGGGCCAGACUCUGUCCCUCUCCCUUUGCUUCCCUUUCUUCCCUUCCCAGAUAGUGCCCCAGGCCUCGCGUGAGCCAACCGGACCCGAAAUGGCCGAACUGUCAGACCUCUGCCCAGGAGACAGUCCUUGCCAAGGACCAGCAACUGGGGUGGCCUGUGCCCAGGACACCCACCCAGCCCCAAGAGGCCUGGCCCACGUAAAGGACGACCGCCUGGCCGGGGGCUCUGGGCCACCCCCAGAAGCCGGAAGCUCGGCCCGCCGCCCUGUGUCUCACGCAUGCAAGUCGGCCUCACCCAGGAGACCUGGGAGCCCCCGAGCGGCCUGCGGGUCGAUGAGGCCCCCUGCACUCCAUGCACCAUGCGGUCAGGUCCCCGGUGUGUGCAGAGUCCACUGGGCAGAGUUCCUGGAGGAGGCGGCCACAGAGAGACUCCAACCAAAGCGCACACUCUCCAUCCACAAGAUGCUCUCUCCAGCCGAUGGGCCGCAGAAACACUGGGGGAGGCGAAGACUCAAGCCAGAUGCCAGGCCCCUCGGCCUCCACUGGCUGGUGACCUCCCUGCCCCUGCAUGCCCUCCGGGAGGCCUGGCUUCCCCCUCACAGCCUCGGGCUCCCCAGGAGAACGUGCGUCUGCGACAGAGCCCCAGCUCGGCCUCUGCCUCUUGGGACAAGGCGAGGCUCGGCCCUCCUGUGCAGCACUCUCCGACCCGCCGUGACAGCUGUGGGUCCCAGCCAACGGCAGCCCCCCACCAAGUGUGACACAGACACGUAGCCUCUGGGGACAGGAGCGCCCGGUGGCCAGCAAGCCUGGAAACAUGGCCGUCCUGGCUGGGCUGCCUGGGGAGCGGCCCCAGAGAAUGGGGCCACGGCCAUGCCUCCAUGUCCUUGUUCACACGGGGCCACGGGCAGGCAGGAUGCCCGGCCCACACCGCCCCUCACUCUGCUGGCAGCUGUGGCUGCCUUGGCGGGUAGGCCCGAAGGCGUACGGUGAGAAUGAUGGCAGAAGCACAUCGGGGCACGUGUGGCCACCCCAGAGAGCGGGACGGAAGCCCAGGUCUCUCCCUGUACCUCCCUGGGAGCUGGCCCCUUCCGUCACCACUGGAGGCUGUGGGCAGUCCCCUACUGCGGCCUGCGUUGGGGACAGGAACUCAAGGCUGCACAUGGACCCCAUCCACAUCCCACGGAGACCUGCGACCUGGCGCUUUCAGAAGCUCUCAGUGAAGUACAGGGUCCCCCCAAGUGAGGUAUUGCAUUGGCUAACGCAGUUCUCGGAUCCGGGCCGGGCCAGACCCCCGACCCCACAGCCUCCACGGCUCACACCUGCACCAUGAGGCCCAUCUCCAGGGUCCACAAGAGGACGCCGAGGCUCGGAGAGGUGACUUGACUGCCGCAGUGCCCUCCAGGCCGAACAGAUACACGCUGGCCGGGGUUUCCGGGAAGAUAGCGUCUCCGGGCGUGGCGAACACCUGAGCACCAGUCAGUGGGACGUAAGGGUCAGAUCGGCCACGUGUGACCACAGUGCCAAAGCCUGCGGGACACGUAACUGCCUCCCACCCCCUCUGCCCCCUGCAAGACCCCCGCGCACACACCAGGGCACGGGCCUCUGUCCCCUGUGCUGGGUCCACAGGGCUGGGUGACCUGUAGGAGCCUCGACAUGGCCCCGAGCUGCUGGAGCCAAGUUUACUCAGGGGCACCGAUCACCAGAAGCACCCAUCACCAGGAGCACCGGUGAAGACCCGAGGACCAUACCGGACACCUUGCCCCCCAGCCCCCCAGCAGUGGGUUCGCACCCCGCCACCACCUCUGGAUGGGGCUGCCGGGAGAAGCCCUUGUACGUUCUGGCACGGGGACCUGGCCGAGGACUGGGGUAGAGGCCCAGGCGGCAGUGGAGCUGACUGAAGACCCCUUCCCCAAGCCAGCCCCCACACUCGGGGGGCUGGCCUGAGAAAGCCCGCAGCCAGCCAGCGGCAAGCACGGGGCUCCGUGCUCCUCCAUUCUGACCGCCACAGUCCUGGAGGAGAAACGGCCAAGCGUUCCCGGAGAUCUGGCUUCUGCUGGCCUGGACUUCCUCUCAGGGCUCCCCGAGCAGGUGGGUGGCCUGUGGCCCCCAGACGGUGUGUGCCGACACCAGGGCUGACGGCCCUCACCGCCAAAGGGGUGAUACCUGUUGGGGGCAGCCGUGAGCUUGUCUGGGGGGCGGCUCAGUCCCGAGCCUUUUGUCAGCCUUACCCUGGGCCGCCCCAUGAGGGUCUCGCAGGGUCAGGGAGCUGGUGAGGCCUCACCACCCAGCUGCGUUGAUGGAGGGUGGCAGCCCUGUCCUUCCCUGGUGGGACUCCGUGUGUGUGUAUUCGAGGGGCUGAGCCAUGGCCGAGAGGGUAAAGGAGAGGGGUCAGGGGACAGGACGGGACAGCAGGCCCAGGGAGGCCUGGAGACGGACCCCUGCCUGAGGGUCAUGGGUCCCAGCAGGCUCUGAGUGGGCACUGCACCUGUGUGGCACACGACCUCAGCCGCAGAACUCCAACCGUGACCACUCUGUGGUCUCCCGUGCCCUGGGCUCUGGGAAGGCCGGAGCCGAAGCGGUGAGUCGGCGUUCUGCCUGCGGGCACCGGCCCGUCCCUGGCUUCACACCGCCCUCCCGCGCACUAACGCAGUGAGCCUGCCUGGUCGUCUCCAGGACGGGUGUGGGCCCAGCAGCCCACUCAGGGCCCGGGUCCACAAGGACGAGUUGCCCCUGCUUCCUAGUGAGCCGGCCGGCUUCUUCCAAGCCGGGGAGCACUUACUGGAGGCCCCCUGCCAGCCACAGGGCGCUGCCCACCUGCCUAUGAGCCUGGGGGCCCUGGAAAGCUGGCCGGCGGGUCCUGCCCGAUCACAACACCAGCCCGAGACGGUCCCGUCUUGCUCGCAUUCUGGCUAUGCGACUCUACCAGUCCUGCCCCAGCAGCCAGGAUGCCCCGGGACCGGGAUCCCCGAUUCCUCGGUCACCUGCAGGUCAAUGGCCCAGGGCCUCACCCCGGCCGAGGCGCGUGCACGGCUCACGACAACACCGAGACCCAGGAGGAACGCCGACGGCCUGCCGAGACCGCCCCGUGUCCGCGGGCAGAGGAGCCCGGUCAGCCUGCGAGCCUGGGACUGGCCGAGAGGAGCGCACAUCCCGACACGGAGGGCCUCACCCAGGGGAAUCCCCCCAAGGGCAGUGUCUGGAACCGACCCGAGUGCCCGACGGACCCGACGGCUCGUCGUCCACACUGGGUGCCCUGCCGGGAGCACUGACUCCCCUCGCGAGGGAUCGCAGCGUGGCCGGGCCCCGGGGAUCGGCCUGGCAGGGCAGCAAGGCGGGGGCGGACGGGCGUGCGUCCCAGGCCAGCUGUGCCUCGGGGGACGGCCAACUGGAAGGCGUGGAAAAUCAGCCAUUUCCUCCACCUGAAGGAGCCCCUGAGGACAGCAGCGCGACUGGCAGGCGGCACUCGGCAUCUGCCCGCGGCGGCUCUGGGGUUCUAGGGGGAAACACCGAGAAACAAAGUCGUCUCUCUUUUGGGGGGUGGGGGAGGGGCCAGGGGAGAGAGAAGCAACCUGCUCGGACGCUCAAGGCACAGAAACAAGUGGAAAAUGAUCAGUUCAGUUUUCCAUAAGUCAGAACAAGAGGAUCGUGUUCCCAGACUUGGCGGGAAAUGGCCCCAUGUGCCUCCCGCACCCAUCACUCGGGGCCCGGGCACUGGGUGCGGCCCCUGGCAGCAGGGGGCCCCAGGUCACUGAGGGCAGCUGGCGAGUGGAGGCCCCCGG